rnacentral:rRNA from 1 species
AUGGACCCCAACCUCUCCGCUCCGCCCCCUCCGCCAACGGACGAGGGCCACGACAACCGGGUCGUGCAGCUGCCGGGCGGCCUCACCAUGAUGGCAAACCACAAGCCGCUGGUGUGUGCCGUCCCGCUGACGGCACGCCCAAAGUCAGUGGAAGUCAAGCUGUUCAAAGGGUUUUACGACGUGCGCGUCCAGGGCGCGAACGGCGAGCGCGGCUUCUACCGCAUCCCGAUGAGCCCGGCGGGCUCGCCGAAGCUUCUCGUCGCAAACUUGGCGACCUGCUCCAUCGGCUUCAUCGACAGGGUAGCAACGGUCGGCCCCUCCCGCGCCCCGUUCACGGAUGCCAAGGUGAUCUGCCGUGACCUGCGUGGGCGGGACUCCACUCCGGGCUGCGACGGGGAGGACCAAGUCAUGCAGGCGGUGGCUCGCUUCGAUGCGGGCCUCCCUCCGUUCCAGCCAUCGCCGCCGCUGCAGAUCGCCUCCGGGGACUGCUUCGAGCCCUCGCUGCCGCAGCUCUCUCCGCCAGCCUCCUCCGGGAUCGCCGAUCUUCCCCCGCGUGCGGCCUCCCCAACGAUCUUCUUCACGUGUCGCAGUGCCCGCAUCAGGAAGGGCGAGGCUGCCAACCGCAUGACAAUGCUGGAGAAGGCUACUCUCCGGAAGGAGAUGAAGCUCGAGGGAAAGAAGAAGGUGGCGCCAUGCUCCGAGCUGCUGCUCCCGGCGGCGGAGCUCAUGGAGAUCGUCGCUGAGGGCCCCCCACCGCUGCCGCGCAAGGAUGCCAUGCAGUUUGCCGUGGCCUGUGGCGUUUCCGGGAUCGACCUCAACCUGGUGCCAUCCGGGGACGAUGUGUGA